GAGUAUCUAGUGUGAUGAACCAAUUAGAUGUGUGAAAUGGCUUCUGCCGUCAUGAACUGAACUACCGAGGCAUUUCAAGGUUCUGACUUGAUACUU